UGGCGGCUGUAGCGCGGUGGUCCCACCUGACCCCAUGCCGAACUCAGAAGUGAAACGCCGUAGCGCCGAUGGUAGUGUGGGGUCUCCCCAUGCGAGAGUAGGGAACUGCCAGGCA
rnacentral:rRNA from 60 species